rnacentral:ncRNA from 1 species
UGGUUCAUUUGAUCGUACAGUUUACUUGGAUAGCUGUGGUAAUUCUAGAGCUAAUACAUGCGAGAAGCGCCGACCUCGCGGGAGGAGUGCAUUUAUCAGACCAAAAACUCGGCCGCGUCUUCGGGCGCGUUCGCCUUGGUGACUCUGGAUAACUUUGCGGAUCGCACGGUCUAGCACCGGCGACGGAUCAUUCAAGUGUCUGCCCUAUCAACUUUCGUCGGUACGGUAUUUGCCUACCGAGGUUCUUACGGGUGACGGGGAAUCAGGGUUCGAUUCCGGAGAGGGAGCCUGAGAAACGGCUACCACAUCCAAGGAAGGCAGCAGGCGCGCAAAUUACCCAUUCCCGACGCGGGGAGGUAGUGACGAAAAAUAACAAUGCAGGACUCGUUCUAGGCCCUGUAAUUGGAAUGAGUACACUUUAAAAGCUUUAACGAGUAUCCAUUGGAGGGCAAGUCUGGUGCCAGCAGCCGCGGUAAUUCCAGCUCCAAAAGUAUAUAUUUAAGUUGUUGCGGUUAAAAAGCUCGUAGUUGGAUUUUGGGCGCAGGCGGCCGGUCCGUCGCAAGGCGUGUACUGGACGUCCUGGCCUUCCCUCCGGUUCUCCGCCGGUGCUCUUGACUGAGUGUCGGCGGCGGCCGGAACGUUUACUUUGAAAAAAUUAGAGUGUUCAAAGCAGGCUCUCGAGCCUGGAUAAUGGUGCAUGGAAUAAUGGAAUAGGACCUCGGUUCUAUUUUGUUGGUUUUCGGAGCGCGAGGUAAUGAUUAAGAGGGACAGACGGGGGCAUUCGUACUGUGCCGUUAGAGGUGAAAUUCUUGGAUCGGCGCAAGACGAACGACUGCGAAAGCAUUUGCCAAG